UCCACACACACAUUGAGACACAUGAAUUCUGCUCCUAGGUCGGCCAAGCUCCUCAUUGUUAUUCAGAAUUUAUCUUUUAAUGACUCACCGCCCAUUUCACCUUCUCAUCUUGUGCGCAUUGCAAGAGAGAAAAACACACAAAGUAAUCUGACUACUUGUCCUUCUUCUUGGUUCAGAAUCGUCAGCCAUUUCCCCCACUUUCCCUAUGUGCCUAGCAUCCGGAACCUACUUGCAUGUCUAUUGAUUGGUCCAGAGAAUUUAACUCAGCACAAUUCUCAUCUCCUCCAAGCCGUAAGUCCCAAACGAGGAGGAUCUAAAUACCUAAACGUGCGUUUUCCUCUUCCUCCUUCAUAUGGGUCGAAUUGGUAGUAUCAAGGGAGUAAAUAGGUUUCCCCUAAACUCGGACUUCCUCUCUGCUCCGCACGAAUUUGUUGGAACUUCUCUCUUUUAUUCAGAGCUCUUCAUCUGCUCAUCGAUUUGUUUUCUUGGUCCAGCCGUAGCACAAUCUUCAAGGAGGUGGGGUAUUGUUCUAUUCCCUUGUUUUUCUAGUCUUGAGUCGGCCUUGAUUGGGGUGCAUUCAGCGUUGAAGUGUGAAUCUGGAAAGGGAAGGCGAGGACAAUUGUGUAACCAUUGGUUGCUGCCUCCUAUUAAGUGACUAGUGAAACCUUGAGUAUAUACGUGGGGGCUGUGGAACGUAGACCAAGUCCCUAUCUCAUCUUCACUUCUCGACUCUGUUGAGGUCCGCGAACGUCUAAGAAAGUGGACUGAAUUGGUGAUAAGUGUGUUUAAAAAGUUGUAAACGUCACAGGUCCGCGAACGUCUAAGAAAGUGGACUGAAUUGGUGAUAAGUGUGUUUAAAAAGUUGUAAACGUCACAGGAGGACGGAAGAGCAUAUGAAGACAUAGCUAUUUGCUGCUUGAACUUUUGCUGUUGCUGUUUAUUUAUGGAUGACUGUACUAUUUUGGAUAUUUUGGUAUGCCUGGAUGAUUGUUGGAACUAUGAUUUUACUGCAUGUUGAAGACUUUUUGAGCAGCAAGUAUGUU